rnacentral:rRNA from 1 species
UACGGGGGGGGCAAGCGUUGUUCGGAAUUACUGGGCGUAAAGGGCUCGUAGGCGGCCAACUAAGUCGGAUGUGAAAUCCCCAGGCUUAACCUGGGAACUGCAUUCGAGACUGCAUUACUAGAGUAUGGGAGAGGGAAGUGGAAUUUCCGGUGUAGCGGUGAAAUGCGUAGAUAUCGGAAGGAACAUCAGUGGCGAAAGCGACUUCCUGGACCAAUACUGACGCUCAUGUGCGAAAGCGUGGGGAGCAAACAGG